rnacentral:rRNA from 1 species
CGGUCCAACUCGGAUGUAAGGUAAACCUGCUCUUGGUUUAACAAGAUUAAUGAGGUCGUCCUCGUGGCGGCCGCUCAGUCGUGGUGACUCUGGAUAAACCUAGCUGAUCGCAAUGAGCACUUAAGUGGGCUCGCGACGUAUCUUUCAAGCGUAUGCCCUAUCAUGUAGUCGGUACGGUAUUGGCCUACCGAGCAGACAACGGGUAGCGGGGAAUCAGGGUUCGAUUCCGGAGAGGGGGCAUGAGAAAUGGCCACCACAUCCAAGGAAGGCAGCAGGCGCGCAAAUUACCCAAUCCCGACACGGGGAGGUAGUGACGAAAAAUAACAAUACGGGACUCUUUCGAGGCCCCGUAAUUGGAAUGAGCACAAUCUAAAUCCUUUAGCCGAGGAUCUAUUGGAGGGCAAGUCUGGUGCCAGCAGCCGCGGUAAUUCCAGCUCCAAUAGCGUAUAUUAAAGUUGCUGCAGUUAAAAA